rnacentral:lncRNA from 1 species
GCCAUCGCAUUUUCCGUCCGGAUUGAUGAGCUCCGUAAAUCCCUUCAUGUAUUUCUGUGAUCGCCUGAGCACCCUCUUGGGGGCCGAGGCAUAGUAAUAGCAGUCCAUCCUCGCCUUUCCGGUAUAACUCAUUUUGAUACAUGACAUAGUUCGUGGCUUGAACUCAUGUUUUGCGACUAUGUUUGCCAUUGGGAUUGUCAAGGUACUGCAUAAUGGGCUUUCUCCAAUCAUCUGGUAUUGCCUCGACAGCACAAACCUCCAUAGAGUCUUGUCGAUCUAGCAACGAGGGUAAGGACAUGACUCUGG